UGGGGAAUAUUCCGCAAUGGACGAAAGUCUGACGGAGCAACGCCGCGUGAGUGAUGAAGGUUUUCGGACUGUAAAGCUCUGUUGUUUAGGACGAAAGUGCCUGUUGCAAAUAGUUACAGGUAUUGACGGUACUGAACGAGGAAGCCACGGCUAACUACGUGCCAGCAGCCGCGGUAGUACGUAGGUGGCAAGCGUUGUCCGGAAGUAUUGGGCGUAAAGAGCAUGUAGGCGGGAAUCUAAGUCUGUUGUGAAAAUGCGGGGCUCAACCCCGUAUUGCGAUGGAAACUGGGUUUCUUGAGUGCAGGAGAGGAAAGGGGAAUUCCCAGUGUAGCGGUGAAAUGCGUAGAUAUUGGGAGGAACACCAGUGGCGAAGGCGCCUUUCUGGACUGUGUCUGACGCUGAGAUGCGAAAGCCAGGGUAGCGAACGG
rnacentral:rRNA from 1 species